AUUAGAUACCCUGGUAGUCCGCGCGGUAAACGAUGGAUGCCCGCUGUCGGCGAUAUACAGUCGGCGGCCAAGCGAAAGCGUUAAGCAUCCCACCUGGGGAGUACGCCGGCAACGGUGAAACUCAAAGGAAUUGACGGGGGCCCGCACAAGCGGAGGAACAUGUGGUUUAAUUCGAUGAUACGCGAGGAACCUUACCCGGGCUUGAAUUGCAGAGGAAAGAUCCAGAGAUGGUGAUGCCCUUCGGGGCCUCUGUGAAGGUGCUGCAUGGUUGUCGUCAGCUCGUGCCGUGAGGUGUCGGCUUAAGUGCCAUAACGAGCGCAACCCCUUUCCCUAGUUGCCAUCGGUUCUAGCCGGGCACUCUGGGGACACUGCCUCCGCAAGGAGUGAGGAAGGUGGGGAUGACGUCAAAUCAGCACGGCCCUUACGUCCGGGGCUACACACGUGUUACAAUGGGUGAUACAGAGGGCCGGCCGCUGGCAACAUCGGUCCAAUCCUUAAAGUCAUCCUCAGUUCGGACUGGGGUCUGCAACCCGACCCCACGAAGCUGGAUUCGCUAGUAAUCGCGCAUCAGCCAUGGCGCGGUGAAUACGUUCCCGGGCCUUGUACACACCGCCCGUCAAGCCAUGAAAGCCGGGGGCGCCUGAAGUCCGUGACCGCGAGGGUCGGCCUAGGGUGAAACCGGUGAUUGGGGCUAAGUCGUAACAAGGUACCAAGGGCG
rnacentral:rRNA from 1 species